GUUGUACUAGGGAAGAAGAACGCAAAGAUAGAGACAGACUCCUACAUUCAACUGUAAAAUGAAAUCAUUUAUAAUAAAGUACAAGGAGAAACACAGGAGGAAAAGGCCCUAAAUCUGCUUAGGGGGUCAGGAAUGCUUUUGCAAAAGAGGCAGCACCUAAACGAAAAUGAGUUUGCCCGGAGAAUGAAAGGUGGGUUGAGGUUUAGGGGAGCUAACAUUGCAUCCACAUGGAGGUAGAAUAGGAUAUGCACAUCCUUCACUCUCCUGAUUAAGGAAUGGUACCAUAAUCCAGUAUUCCUUGAGUAUAUAGAACGGGGAGAUGAUGGGAAAUGAAUAGGAUCAGAG
rnacentral:lncRNA from 1 species